rnacentral:rRNA from 1 species
CUGGGACUGAGACGCGGCCCAGACUCCUACGGGAGGCAGCAGUGGGGAAUUUUGGACAAUGGGCGCAAGCCUGAUCCAGCAAUGCCGCGUGAGUGAAGAAGGCCUUCGGGUUGUAAAGCUCUUUUGUCAGGGAAGAAACGGUGGAGGUUAAUACCUUCUGCUAAUGACGGUACCUGAAGAAUAAGCACCGGCUAACUACGUGCCAGCAGCCGCGGUAAUACGUAGGGUGCAAGCGUUAAUCGGAAUUACUGGGCGUAAAGCGUGCGCAGGCGGUUGUGCAAGACAGAUGUGAAAUCCCCGGGCUCAACCUGGGAAUUGCAUUUGUGACUGUACGGCUAGAGUGUGUCAGAGGGGGGUAGAAUUCCACGUGUAGCAGUGAAAUGCGUAGAGAUGUGGAGGAAUACCGAUGGCGAAGGCAGCCCCCUGGGAUAACACUGACGCUCAUGCACGAAAGCGUGGGGAGCAAACAGGAUUAGAUACCCUGGUAGUCCACGCCCUAAACGAUGUCUACUAGUUGUCGGGUCUUUAUUGACUUGGUAACGCAGCUAACGCGUGAAGUAGACCGCCUGGGGAGUACGGUCGCAAGAUUAAAACUCAAAG